rnacentral:lncRNA from 1 species
GAAGUGUGUCUGGUCGAUCUAAACAUCAGGAGCGAACAGGAGCUUCCCCACCAAACCCUAACUUGUGCAAAUUGAUCAAAUUGGGGCUUCAAAUCAGUUCCAAAUCGAUUUCCAAGCACGAAAUUGUCAUCUCCAUUGAAAGGGGAGUCAUAAGUUUGAUCUCGUCAAGCUAAGUGGGAGCUGGAAAAGAAUGGAUCAAACGGGUCAAGUGCGCAAGGAAAGCUCGAACGGACGCAAACUGAACGAAUAGAAAUUUGGAUAAUUACGUCAUCAUAGAAUAUUGAAUUAAUAAUAGCAAGGCAUAAACGGGUCUAUACGUUGACUCGAGCCAGGUACGCUUAUAUAUAGAUUUAUAGUUAAAAGUGUUUAACUUCCCUUCACGGGUCAAAAGGAGUAGAUAGGUAAAACGGGUUAAGAAUUCAUAAGAAACCCGUAAUUUGAACCUUGCACAUUAGUAAACUGAUAUAACGUGAUAUGCAUGAUAUUUUGAAAAGGGUAAUAAACAAGUUUGUUUGAUAAAUCACGAACGGGUCAAAAAGUGUCAUAAUUGAAUUUCAAGCCGAGAGCUUGAAAGUUAAAAUUCUGUGAAUUCAGAUGUUGGAUUUUAACUCCAUAUGAUGGAGGAUCAAAUUACAAUCACGUAGAAAGAAACGGUAGACCCUGUAAAAAAAUAUGUAUAUAUAUUUUAUUCAGUUUUGCUUCCCAGACUCAUUUAGAUACGUUUUAAACCCCGUAUGACUAAAGCAUUUCAUGUUUAUGAAAUGUAGGUACAUUUUGGAUGCCGGAAGACGAUCAAGCUCAACGAAGAACCGAACACGAAUAAGAUAAAAGCUUCCGUACGUCGUUUCGUCGUAACUUUUAAACGACGAACUCAAUUAUGUUAUGUUGUAUUAUUUUAAAAUUGUAAAGUUUAAACAAACCCGUAUUUUUACAAAGUAUAUGUAGUCAUAAUUACAUGUUGUUUGUCGUAUACUUUACGAAAACCAUUAAAUAAUGACAAGGGUGUUACAAGUUGGUAUCAGAGCUCAUGGUUAAAGAGUAAAGUGUGUUCGGUUCGAGGCUUGAUCGCAAAUCCGGUAAAUACAUGUAUAUUAAUGGUUUGGUAUGUGUUGAAAUGUUGUGAACAACACAUAGGGUUAUCGUGUGAUACACGUUACCUCAAUUAAAUGAUAAAUAUAGUUGAGAAAAUUGCGCGCGUUGACGCGUAUAGUAGAAAAGCCUUGUAUUAUAAUACGGGCGAUUAUUGAAGUUGAUAUUAUUAAUUCUUGUAAAUGUUUUAAUUGAAGGACACUCGCAUCUGAAGAUAGCGAGAGUUUAACAAAUUGCGGAUAUGAUGAUGGAACGGUCCGAGAUGUGACAAGAAGAGCAUACUCAUCAAGGACCUAAAUCGCGUAAUGAUCGCAAAUAAGUAAUGGCAAGGAAUGCCCGCCGGGGCAAGCAUUACCAGGUGCACAUUUUAAACUUAUAGUACAAACAGUAAUAUGCAACAAAUACAUAGUGAAUGACAGUUGCAUAUAGAAUAUGAAACUUGGAAAACCUGGAUAGGUUACCUAUAUAGGAUGACGUUUCCAAGAGAAAUUCAGUAGAGAAUAUGUAUUAUUCACAAAUUGUGAAUAACAAGACAAUAACAGAAUUCAGUUUAUAUAGAAACUUGGACGAGAGUGAUCAUCCAAGUAAGUAUUCUCAAUAUAAAUCCUAUUGAAAAAAGUAAUGAUCACAUCAACAAAUGUGAAUAAAUGUUUAUAAAAAGGGACAUUUUACAUGUUCAAGGAUAAACGACUAAAACUAAUAAUUGUUAACUAACAAUUAAAUAAAGUUUUACCAAAUGAAAUCACAAAUAUGGAAAUAAUUUGAGGAGUUACUUACAUGGGACGUGAUGUGGUAAUUAUAAUAAGGUCACGCGUACCAUGUGUUGAUCGCUUACUCUGGCUAAGUAAGUAGUGAACACAUGAUAGCAUGAGCUUCUUAUAAUGAGCGCAGUUAUGUCCGAUGUAGUAAGGUCAAGAUGAAUGAAAAUUUAAAGGAUCCUUAGGGUCAAGAAAUCUUAUGGGCAUACUCGUAUAAAUGGUUUUCGCGGGAACCAUAAAAACGACGUAUGGCGCACAUAGAAAUAAAUGACCCAAGGAAAUUCGUGACAUAAGUCAUUUCGGACGAAACAACCAUGGUAGACAAAAAGGGCAUUGUAAAACCAAAGUAUAAAUGACCCGCGGGGUCAUAGAAACAAAGGUAUUGCCCACAUGGGAAAAACGAUCAAAAACCAUGGUAGACAAAAAGGGCAUUGUAAAACCAAAGUAUAAAUGACCCGCGGGGUCAUAGAAACAAAGGUAUUGCCCACAUGGGAAAAACGAUCAAAGUCAUUGACUUUGGUCGUAGUAAAGAAAUGAUGAUGAUGAUGAUAAUCAUCAUUCAUAGUUUAUAAGACUGUCAAGGAUGGUCGGAUAAAGAAUAAAGGUUUGGUUGAAUAAAAGCGAUGGAUUUCGCUAAGACAACCAAACAAAUUAAAAAGAAAUCUUAAUGUAUACCGGAAUGCUUGCACUAAUAAUGACUUCGGUAAAGUACCCGGUUGAUGGGUAAGGAUUUAAACACAUGCGUAAACCGAGAAACGGGAACACGAAUUUAAAGUCAAAAGACUCGGAUUAUGAGUUAUGACUGAAAGACCAUAAAAUUUCGCAAACAGAAAUUUUGAUAAUUAUAUUCAACUAUUUUGAGGUUGAACGGGUUGAAUAAAGUAUAAUGCUUGAUGGCAUAAGUAAGCGCAAGCCGGAUAAUGGUAAGCUUGAGACAAACCGAUGCUUAAUUGACGUGAGAAGUCAUAGAGUCGGAAGAAUUAUUCGAAAGAAAACGAUUGUAGACACGAACUACAGUCAAAGUUAACGGAUUUCAAGCAUGAAAACAAGUGAUUUUCAAACAAAAAAAAAAGGAGAGUGCUUUUACACCAAAUAUAUAUUUUAAUAAAGACACGAGUAAAAAGAAUGAUCUACGGGAUCAUCAUAACCUUCAGGUUAUAAACAGUGUAAAGGUCUACGGGACCAAAAUGACCUACGGGUC